CGGUGUUUAAUGAAAACAGGCACGGCGACUGCCGGGUGGACGUUUUAUUCGCGAGUACCUACCUACCUGCCUCUAUCUGCCUACACUUAAUGCGUACACGAUUUAUAUAAAUAUAUACGGAAGAAGGAGUUGCCAGACUGUAUAGAGAUACGAUCUUAAUGGCUGUGUCGGCGGAGAGCUCUGGCGUACCCUCGGCGUAACGAUGUCCGAAAAACCGGCGAGGUUU